UCCCUCAUAGCUCAGUUGGUAAAGAAUCUGCCUGCAAUGCAGGAGACCCUGGUUCAAUUCCUGGCUCAGGAA
rnacentral:tRNA from 1 species